AUUGAACGCUGGCGGCAUGCUUUACACAUGCAAGUCGAACGGGUAACAGGUCUUCGGAUGCUGACGAGUGGCGAACGGGUGAGUAAUGCAUCGGAACGUGCCCAGUCGUGGGGGAUAACGCAGCGAAAGCUGUGCUAAUACCGCAUACGAUCUAUGGAUGAAAGCGGGGGAUCGCAAGACCUCGCGCGAUUGGAGCGGCCGAUGUCAGAUUAGCUAGUUGGUGGGGUAAAAGGCCCACCAAGGCGACGAUCUGUAGCUGGUCUGAGAGGACGACCAGCCACACUGGGACUGAGACACGGCCCAGACUCCUACGGGAGGCAGCAGUGGGGAAUUUUGGAACAAAU
rnacentral:rRNA from 1 species